UACGUCCAUCAACGACCCUUUUCAAAGGAUACAGUUGAAGACUAGAAAAGAAAGAAAGAAGAAAACGAUUCGUACCUCGCCAUGGAAAGUAAAAUUUCCCACUUGUAUGAACGGUAUUAGCUUCAACUCGUACGAAUCUGGCACCACAGAUCUUGAAGUCACCGCAUGGUUUAACGAGCUUUUCCUCAAGACAUGGCGCAAGAUGAUAGACAAGAAGCCCGGUCACGACCAAAGAUAUAAAGACAGCAGCACCAAAAAGGAAAGCGCCGCAAGGAGAGACUGUGCAACCUCUUUUA